rnacentral:misc_RNA from 1 species
UGCCGCCACCGGGACGCUGUACGCGACGCCGGUGAGUGCGAAGCCGCUGCGGCCCCACAGGAAGGUCCAGUCACCGAAGCCGAUCAGCCGGUCGGGGCUCAGCGGCGAGUCGAACCCGAAAUACCCCGGGUAGCUGUAGCCGCUGAACAUGAUCGGGAAG